AAAUGAAUUGACGGGCACCCGCACAAGCGGUGGAGCAUGCUGUUUAAUUCGAAGAUACGCGAAAAACCUUACCUAGAUUUGACAUCCCGGGCAAUGCUAUGGAAACAUAUGCGGAGGCUACCCCGGUGACAGAUGGUGCAUGGUUGUCGUCAGCUCGUGUCGUGAGAUGUUUGGUUAAGUCCAAUAACGAGCGCAACCCUCGUCUUUAGUUGCUAACAUUUAGUUGAGAACUCUAAAGAUACUGCCAGUGUAAGCUGGAGGAAGGUGAGGAUGACGUCAAAUCAUCAUGCCUCUUACAUCUAGGGCUACAGGCGUGCUACAAUGGCCGGUACAACGAGUCGCUACAUGGUAACAUGAUGCUAAUCUCUUAAAGCCGGUCUCAGUCCGGAUUGUUCUCUGCAACUCGAGAACAUGAAGUUGGAAUCGCUAGUAAUCCCGAAUCAGAAUGUCGGGGUGAAUACGUUCCCGGGUGUUGUACACACCGCCCGU
rnacentral:rRNA from 1 species